GCGUAAGGGCUCGCAGGCGGUUUCUUAAGUCUGAUGUGAAAGCCCCCGGCUCAACCGGGGAGGGUCAUUGGAAACUGGGAAACUUGAGUGCAGAAGAGGAGAGUGGAAUUCCACGUGUAGCGGUGAAAUGCGUAGAGAUGUGGAGGAACACCAGUGGCGAAGGCGACUCUCUGGUCUGUAACUGACGCUGAGGAGCGAAAGCGUGGGGAGCGAACAGGAUUAGAUACCCUGGUAGUCCACGCCGUAAACGAUGAGUGCUAAGUGUUAGGGGGUUUCCGCCCCUUAGUGCUGCAGCUAACGCAUUAAGCACUCCGCCUGGGGAGUACGGUCGCAAGACUGAAACUCAAAGGAAUUGACGGGGGCCCGCACAAGCGGUGGAGCAUGUGGUUUAAUUCGAAGCAACGCGAAGAACCUUACCAGGUCUUGACAUCCUCUGACAACCCUAGAGAUAGGGCUUUCCCUUCGGGGACAGAGUGACAGGUGGUGCAUGGUUGUCGUCAGCUCGUGUCGUGAGAUGUUGGGUUAAGUCCCGCAACGAGCGCAACCCUUGAUCUUAGUUGCCAGCAUUCAGUUGGGCACUCUAAGGUGACUGCCGGUGA
rnacentral:rRNA from 1 species